UACGUAGGAUGCAAGCGUUGUCCGGAUUUAUUGGGUUUAAAGGGUGCGUAGGCGGCCUAUUCCGUUAGUGGUGAAAACGUUCGGCUUAACCGGAUACCCGCCAUUGAUGCUGAUAGACUUGAGUGCGACAGAGGGUGUUGGAAUGUGUGGUGUAGCGGUGAAAUGCUUAGAUAUCACGCAGAACACCAAUUGCGAAGGCAGAUGCCUAUGUCGUAACUGACGCUGAGGCACGAAAGCGUGGGGAGCAAACAGG
rnacentral:rRNA from 1 species